rnacentral:rRNA from 1 species
AUUGAACGCUGGCGGCAUGCUUUACACAUGCAAGUCGAACGGCAGCACGGGCUUCGGCCUGGUGGCGAGUGGCGAACGGGUGAGUAAUGCAUCGGAACGUACCGUGUAAUGGGGGAUAACGUAGCGAAAGUUACGCUAAUACCGCAUACGCCCUGAGGGGGAAAGCGGGGGAUCGUAAGACCUCGCGUUAUACGAGCGGCCGAUGUCGGAUUAGCUAGUUGGUGGGGUAAAGGCCUACCAAGGCGACGAUCCGUAGCGGGUCUGAGAGGAUGAUCCGCCACACUGGGACUGAGACACGGCCCAGACUCCUACGGGAGGCAGCAGUGGGGAAUUUUGGACAAUGGGCGCAAGCCUGAUCCAGCCAUGCCGCGUGAGUGAAGAAGGCCUUCGGUUGUAAACUGCUUUAUGAGUGAAGAAUAUGACGGUAACUCAUGAAUAAGCACCGGCUAACUACGUAGCCAGCAGCCGCGGU